ACAGCCAUACCCAAUUGAAAACACUGGUUCUCACCGAUCACUGAAGUUAAGCAUAGCCAGGCCAGGUCAGUACUUGGGAGGGUGACCAUUUGGGGAUACUGUAGGCUUUAAUUCU